GCCAGCAGCUGUAUCAUCCUGCAACUCACAACUGGCAACCCACUGAAGUUAAGCAGGUGUGAGCCCAGUCAGUACCUGGACAGGAGACCUCCUGGGAAAAACUAAGGCUGCUGCUGGAA
rnacentral:rRNA from 1 species